rnacentral:rRNA from 1 species
UACGGAGGGAGCUAGCGUUAUUCGGAAUUACUGGGCGUAAAGCGCACGUAGGCGGCUUUGUAAGUUAGAGGUGAAAGCCUGGUGCUCAACAUCAGAACUGCCUUUGAUACUGCAUCGCUUGAAUCCAGGAGAGGUGAGUGGAAUUCCGAGUGUAGAGGUGAAAUUCGUAGAUAUUCGCAAGAACACCAGUGGCGAAGGCGGCUCACUGGCCCGAUACUGACGCUGAGGUGCGAAAGCGUGGGGAGCAAACAGG